GCCUCCGCCGCCCAAACCCGGUGAUUGAGGUGUUUCGACUGCACGUACUCAGCAGGUAGGACCCUCACGUGGUCAGGCAGCGUGGGACUAUCUCCAGUAGUCGCUCCAGGAAGCGUG